rnacentral:tRNA from 1 species
UCCCACGUGGUCUAGUGGCUAGGAUAUUUGACUUUCACCCAGAAGGCCCGGGUUCGAUUCCCGGUGUGGGAA